GGGCUCCGGCCUCUGAAGUUCCCAAUUAAAUGGCGGGCUUGGUAGUCUGAAGAGUUUGUACUCCUUCCCGGAAAACGUGAUUUAAAAGACACAGGGCCUAAAGGAUUAGAACACACUUGUGAGGGGGUCCUAGACUGGCUUCUUGAUGAAGGGCUGAAACCGCAGGGGCCAGCGGCAGCGGUAACUCCUACUGUAGUGUUGACGUUGUGGUCUGCACAAAUGGUAUUUCAAGAGAUCUGCCGCAACCGCGAUGUGAAGUGGAGAUGUCUAAUUUCUGUUGAUAGUCACAGGAGUUGGAAAAACAACAUUGAUCCAUAAAGCCAGUGAGGUUUUAAAAUCCUCUGGUGUGCCUGUUGAUGGAUUUUAUACCGAAGAAGUCAGACAGGGAGGGAGAAGAAUAGGAUUCGAUGUCGUCACGUUGUCCGGCACCCGGGGGCCUUUAUCGAGAGUUGGGUUAGAGCCUCCACCUGGAAAACGUGAAUGCCGAGUUGGGCAGUAUGUGGUCGACCUGACUUCUUUUGAGCAGUUGGCACUACCCGUCUUGAGGAAUGCCGACUGCAGCAGUGGCCCAGGGCAAAGAGUGUGCGUCAUCGAUGAGAUUGGGAAGAUGGAGCUCUUCAGUCAGCUUUUCAUUCAAGCUGUUCGUCAGACGCUGUCUACCCCAGGGACUAUAAUCCUUGGCACAAUCCCAGUUCCUAAAGGAAAGCCACUGGCUCUUGUAGAAGAAAUCAGAAACAGAAAGGAUGUGAAGGUGUUUAAU
rnacentral:sRNA from 1 species